UCCUUUUUAAGGCGCCGUUUUUCUGGCAGUUAAGAAGACUAAUCUGAAAGAUUAGCCAAAAUAGCUGCUUGUUAAAUCGCUUGAGUCCGGGAAAGACGGGCGCUGCUUCUGUUCAGGGAUGCUCGCUGGGCUAAAAAGCAAAGAAGAAAAAAUGAGAAUUGCUAUGGACGUCUAUGAGCAGUGAAUGCCUUUCUAGAACCAAGAUUUCUUUGUUUCUCUUUCUUUCUUCCUUUUUAAAAACUAGAAACCUCACCUGCAUCAACGAUUAAGAGCAUAAACUUGGCCCAGAAGCCCAUCCCCCCAAAUUCAAGUUAAAGAAAGUCCAUUAAGGCUCCCCUGGGUGGUCCACUGGUUAAGACUCCUCUCUCCCCAUGCAGCGGGCACAGGUUCAGUUCCUGGUUGGAGAACUAAGAUCCCGAUGCUGCACAGCAUGUCCAAGAAAAAAGAAUCACUGGAAACAGUGGGAUCUAGUCCCCUGACCAGGGAUCAAAUCCAAGCCCCUUGGCAUUGGGAACAUGGCGCUUUAACCACUGGACUACCUGGGAAGUCCCCCCAUGUUAUUACAAGUAGAGCCGCUGUGAACAUUCGUGCACAGGUUGUGUAUGAACAUAGAUUUCCAUUUUGCUGGGAUAAAUGCCCAGGAGCGCAAUUGCUGGGUCAUAUGGCUUGUGGAUCUUCAUUGCCUGACUAGGGAUUGAAUCACAGAAGUAAAAGUGCCGAGUCCUGGACCGCCAGUGUUUUUUUUCUAGAAGCCUCUGACUCUGGUGUGGAUUAAGCAGCAGGAAGACGCAGGCCUGGGCGUCAAGCUACAGCCAGCCCUGGGAACACAGCUUUGGAUUCUUUUCUUGGCUGCCUUGUGAAAAUUGAUCUGACGUUUUGCACAAAGCGUCUUCCUCUCCGUCUGAUUUAGAUGAACAGUCGAAGUCCCAGGGCUUCCCUGGUGGCUCAGACGGUAAAGAAUCUGCCUGUAAUGCCGGAGACCCGGGUUCCAUCCCCAUCCCCUGGAGAGGGGAAUGGCAACCCACUCCAGUAUUCUUGCCUGGAGAAUCCCUAUGGACAGAGGGGCCUGGCGGGCCAUAGUCCAUGGGGUUGCAAAGAGUCGGACACGAUUGAGCGACUAACACUUUCACUUCUCGAAGUCCCAGCAGUGCCUCCGUGGCUCCAUGUCACCAGCGUCCUGUUCUCUCCUGACCUCCUCCCCGCCUCCUGGCUGACCCCAGCCUCCGCACCCUCUGUGUCCCUCCUCAGAGCCUCCUUCUCUGAGCUACUCCCCCCACCCGCCCCCCAUGGUGGCCCCCACUUCCUCUCCCCCUCCAAGUCUUUGUUCCUUAAAAAAAACAGAUUCAAUACUUUAAGUAUAGUAUGUUUACCAAGAUGAGUCAGUGGUACAAUCUUCCAGUUUAUACUUAUUGCCAACAGAAAGGCUUGGAGAAAAAUGUUUCAGUAGUGUAAGGUGUAGCUUUUUUUUUUUUUUUAGCUAUUUUUUUUUUUAAUGCCCUAAUUUUUUAAUGAGUCCCUGCACAGCAUGCAGGAUGUUAGUUUUCUGACCAGGGAUCGAAUUUGUGCCCUCUGCAGGGAGAGCACCAGUCCUAACCCUCGGAUGGUCAGGAAGACCCUAAGGCUCUUUGAAUACUGUAUUCAGAAACUUCACCUCCCUCUAUUUUCGAUAACAGAAGGAGAUACAUUAAGUGAUCUCUUUGUUUCCUUUUAUUUGGCCCCGCUUUGCGGCCUUUGGGAUCUUAAUCCCCCCGGUCAGGGGUCAAACCCCUGCCCCCCCCACCUCUGCCCCCCAGUCCCGGCAGUGAGAGCAGAGUCCUAACCACUGGACCGCCAGGGAAGUCCCUUACGUGACCUUCUUUGCACUAAUAUUCUUCCCCCUCAAUCAUUGGUAACAUCAUUCUAUCUCUCCAGAGCAGCUAAAUCUUCUUAUCAGUUGAAGGAUGAACAGGACUCUGACUGCUCCCCUUCAAAUGGUGAUCUCUAUUCACAAAUUUCGUUUCUCCACAGAUCCUAUUAUCAGGAUGUUUUAAGUUAUGGUAAAAUACACCUAAUAUAAAAUUUUACCAUUUUAACCGGUUUUAAGCAUCCAGUUCAGGGGCAUUAAGGACACUCACAGUUAGGCACCCAUCACCGCCCUCAUCUCCAGAACUCAUUUCAUCUUCCCCAACCGUAGCUCUGCUCCCGUUAAACACUCACUCCCCGUUCACCGCCCCUUCCCCGGCCCCUGGCGCCCACUCUUCUACUUUCUGUCCUAUGAAUGUGUCCUCCAGGGACUUUACAGAAGUGGGAUCCCACAGUAUCUGUCCUUUCGUGUCUGCUUUAUUUCGCUCAGCAUCACGUCCUCAAGGUUAACCCGCGUUGUCGCCGGUGCCAGAAUCUCCUUUCUUUCUAAAGCUGAAGAGCAUUCUGUUGUGUGGGUGGAUGCAUUCUGUUUACCCAUUCAUCCGUCUGUGGACAAGGGUUGCGUCCGUUUUUCAGCUGUUGUGAACAAUGCCUUGUCUUUUCAUUUAGUGUAAAGUUAUGUCCCACAAGUGCGGGAAUUGUUGUCUGUUUCGAUCAUGGAUGUAUGUCAUGCGCUUAACCCAGAGCAUGGUACGCAGUAGGUACUUACUGAAUGAAUGGAUGAAUGAAUGCACUCCUCUUUGCCCAUUGCUGUUGCUGGGGGGCUGUGUUCAGAGGCUCUCCAGCCAUCUGGAGAGUUAAAGGUUAAAGGUUAAAGUUAAAGGUUCUAGGUCCAUUUGGCUGGCACUUACCAGGUGUCUGCCCGUUCAUUCAUAUUUAUUCUGCUUUUACUAUGCGCUGGGCCCUGGGCCACACAGACAUGUUGAGCAAAACCAGGCCAAGUCCCUGAUUUCUGGUCUCUAACAGGGGACACAGACAUCAGUCAGAUAAUCGCACAGACUUCUCGUUAAAGAGAGCCAUGGAAAGGCAUUUCUCCUCCACGCUUUUGCCACUGGAUCCGAGUGGCCCGUUUGUUCUUUUUUACGGCUGAGUUUUUUUUUUAGGGCUGAGUUUUGAAAAUUCCUUAUGUAUUCUCAAUACGAGUCCUUUGUUGGCUGUGUGAUUUGCAAACAAUCUCUCCCAGUCUGUGAUGUGUCUUUUCUUUCCCCUUAUCAGAGUCCUCUGUAGAGCAAAUCUCUUUAGUUUUAAUGAGGUCCAAUUUAUCCCUUUUUCCCUGUAUGGAAAUGAGGUGAUCUUUUUUUUUUUUUGGUCAUAAGACAUGACAUGAAAUUUACCAUUAGUGGCCACUUAACACAUUCGGAAUACUGGGCAACCGUCACUACUGUCUAGUUCCAGACAUUUUCAUUGGGCCAGGAGGAAACCCCAAGCUUAUUCCCUCCUCUGCACAGCCUGUUUUCUACCUCUGUGCAUCUGCCAACAUUUCACAGAUAAAUGAAACUAUGUAACGGUCUCUCAUGUCUGGCUUCUUUCACUGAGCAUGAUACUUUCAGAUGACAGAGUUUUGAUCAGACUGGUGGCUCUGCAGUGACAGUUUGCAUUCCUGUUGGGUCCUCCAUCAGCAUAACUUUUUUUUUGGGGGGGGGUGCGGCCACACUGUGUGACUUGUGGGAUCUUUGUUCCCUGACCAGGGACUGAACCACCUGGGCCCUUUAUUUAUGUGGCUGCAUCGAGUCUUAGUUGCGGCACGCGGGAUCCUCGUGUGGAUCCGCACACGGCCUGUCUAGUUGUGGCUCACGGGCCCUGGAGUCCCCGGGCCCCACAGUGUGCAGGCCUAGUUGCUCUGUGGCAUGUGGAAUCUUAGUUCCCCGGGCAGGGAUCGAACCCGCGUCCCCUGCAUUGCCAGGUGGAUUCUUAACCACAGCACCACCAGGGAAGUCCCUCUGUCUCCUUUUGUACCUGAAUCUGGCCACUCCUCCCUGUCCAUCUCCACUUCCACCAUCCGAGCUUGCGCCUUCAUCUUUGCUGCUGCUGCCGCCACUAAGUUGCUUCAGUCACUUCUGACUCUGCGCUACGGACUGUAGUCCGCCAGGCUCCUCUGUUCAGGGGAUUCUCCAGGCAAGAAUACUGGAGUGGGUUGCCGUGCACUCCUCCAGGGGAUCUUCCCUACCCUGGGAUCGGAUCCGCAUCUCUUACCUCUCCUACAUUGGCAGUUGGGUUCUUUACCACUAGGCCUUUGUCUUUGACAUGCACCAAAUUCCAAACUUGUUUUUCUGCCUCCCAUCUUAACCCUCCAAACCUCCCUCCUCCCACACACAUCCUUCCGAAACGCAAAUGUGACCCAAUCCCCUUUCCCAAUCCUUACCCAAGUAAUGACUCCCAGGCACCUCUCAUCAAAGUCUGGGGCGAUUAAUCACUCCAUUAAAAGACUCACGGUAUGGGGAAAUGUAACUCACAAUCAGGAGGUACUUUACCUCACUUUAUCCCAGCCCACUCUUGAUCCUGCCUGCGGAAAAAAAAAAAAAUGUGAUGGAGCUCAGAGCAUAUGGUAUUUUUAGAAACAGAAAGUAGGUUCUUUACUUGGGAAACAUGUAAGUAUUCUGAGUCCACCCAUCCAUGAAAAAAAUCACCUUCAAACCCUCCAGGCCCUGAGAAUUCCAGAUAGAAAGGUAAAAAAUGGUAUAUUCUUGAGUUAGUCAUUUAAUUGGAAAUGGAAAAAUUAUGUGCUUUUUUUUUUUCGAGUGCACCACAUAGCUGGUCAGAUUUUAGUUCUCCGACCAGGGACUGAACUCACAGCCCCUGCAAUGGAAAUGCACUUUCUUUCUCUGGCUGUGUCAAGCCUUAGCUGAGGUACGUGGGGUCUUCACCGUGUCGUGUGGGGUCUUCUCACUGCAAUGCAUAGACGCUCUAGUUGCAGUGCUUGGGCUCAGUAGUUGGGGCAGGCAGGCUUCGUCGCCCUGCGGCAUGUGGGAUCUUAGUUCCCCGACCAGGGAUCAAACCGCAGUUCCCGGCAUUGCAAGGCGGAUUCUGGACCCCAGGGAAGUCCCAGUCCUGCGUGCUUUUCAGCCAUACAGCACUCUUAGGUGGGUCAACAAUGAAAACAAGGAUUUGGCCGGGGACACUGGGCUCAUGAGGCCAGGUGAGCAGAUCUAGGCAUUCAAAGGUCCCUAUUGACAAAUAAACAUUUGCCCCGUGGAACCCAACCAACCAGCAUCUCCCCAACAUUCACCUUUUAAGUGUCGGCAAACGAAACAGAUAGAACUUUGAGCUUAAAACGGGAUGCUUGCUUUUUGGCAAAUCCAUUGUAAGGGCCAUUGAUCUUCAGAGGCUGUUUUUCACUGACCCUUUGGAGUAUGAGGCUGCACUUAGGUGUACCUUCAAAUCGUAGCUGUUUCAGAAAUUCAAAUCAGGAGAGCGUUGUUGCUGGUUACUUACACGGUACGUGGCCAAGACCAUUUGGGAAAUUUAAUAAAAUUUCAUAGUCAACCAAACAAAUGAAAAAAGCCUUUUCAGAGGAGGAAAAUGGAAAUAACUUUUUAAAAUGCCCUUUGUCUUUUAACCAUGAAGUUUUUCCUUGACUAUGGCUGCUUGCCACUAUCAUUUUUAGAGCUAAGGUCUCAUGCAUAAAGCCUAAAAUUCUUCUGUUGAAAGGCACUUCCUUCUGCUAUUUUAUCACCUUCCUGGUUUUGUCUAAUCUCACCCAGAUUACGGUCGUAUUUCUUGGCUUUUUUUAAUGUGCACAUUAAAAUUUCAAACACAGAGUCUUUGUUCUGCAGUCUUGACUUUUCGUGCACCCUUAGACAUAUUUUGGGACUCUUACAAAGAAGAAUGUUUUGCUUUAAAUGAUCUUAUGUCUUUAAGCCUACUUUGUCAUGUUCAACUUCUCAAAUUUUCAUGCAUUCUGAUGAGGUAUUCUAUUUAAAGAGUAUUUUGUUUUAAUUAAGCCCAUCUUAAGAGACAUUUGGUUUUUGCCAAGAAUGUGCUUUCUCCCUUACAAAUCAGUUAUAUUUAUAACAUUCAUAAACUAACUUACUAGCAAAGGCAAAAUCUUAGCUGCAUUAUGGCUGUGUCUUCUAAGUUCAUGGGGAAUCCAAGGGAAAAAGAACAGGUUAAGCGAAAUCAAGACAAAUAAAGACACUUAAACACAUGUGGACUUUAUUUCCAAUAUUUUUUUCUUCUGAAAUACUGGGUUUUAAAGUUGUUUUAUAGAAAAAUUUCUCAUCUCUGAGAAGAAGGCAGAGGGUAGGUUGCUAUGUUUGCGAGCAAAUUGUGGAGAAAACUACGUUAGAAAUUCCAAUUCUUCCUUUGUUCCCUUAGGCUGCAUCUAAAAAUUCAAGUUUAUCUUUUCCUGAAUAUGACAAUAAACACCCGCAUAAUAGAGUAUAUAGAAAAUACAGAAAAAUAGAGACAAGAAAAUGAAAGUCAUCUAUCUCUUAUCAAAAGGCAACCAAUGUUACUAUUUUGGUCUAUUUGGUUCAUAAUAUUUUACAUGUAGCUUUCUUAUGUGGUUGGGAUCAUAUCACAUACAAUAAUUUUUUAUCCCAUUUUUUUUAUUGUGGUAAAAAUACACAGAACAAAAUCCAUCACUUGAACCAUUCUUAAAUGUACAGUUCAGUGGUAUUAAGUAUAUUCACAGCAUUGUGCACCCAUCACCACCUGUGUGUAUCAUGCAUGUAUGCUCAGGUCAUGUCUGACUCUUUGCAACCCCAUGGACAGUAGCCCGCCAGGCUCCUCUGUUCAUGGAAUUUUCCAGGCAAGAAUACUGGAGUGGGUUGCCAUUUCCUUCUCCAGGGAAUCUCCCCAACUCAGGAAUCGAACCCGAGUCUCCUGCAUCUCCUGCAUUGGCAGGCAGGUUCAGGAGACACCUUGUUUUCAAUCCUCCAGG